UACGUAGGGGGCAAGCGUUGUCCGGAUUUAUUGGGCGUAAAGAGCGUGUAGGCGGCUUGGCAAGUCCGCUGUGAAAACUCGAGGCUCAACCUCGAGACGUCGGUGGAAACUGCCUCGCUAGAGUCCGGAAGAGGAGAGUGGAAUUCCUGGUGUAGCGGUGAAAUGCGCAGAUAUCAGGAAGAACACCCGUGGCUAAGGCGGCUCUCUAGUACGGUACUGACGCUGAGACGCGAAAGCGUGGGGAGCGAAC
rnacentral:rRNA from 1 species